CCCUACGGGACGCAGCAGUGGGGGAUAUUGCACAAUGGGGGAAACCCUGAUGCAGCGACGCCGCGUGAGUGAAGAAGUAUUUCGGUAUGUAAAGCUCUAUCAGCAGGGAAGAAAAAAGACGGUACCUGACUAAGAAGCCCCGGCUAACUACGUGCCAGCAGCCGCGGUAAUACGUAGGUGGCAAGCGUUAUCCGGAUUUAUUAGGUUUAAAGGGUGCGUAGGCGGAAGGUUAAGUCAGCGGUCAAAUGUCGGUGCUCAACACCGGCCUGCCGUUGAAACUGGUCUUCUUGAGUGAGCGAGAAGUA
rnacentral:rRNA from 1 species